GAGGGAAGAGAGUCCUCCAGGGAAGGGCUUUCCUGGCCAUGGCUGUAGGGACCCUGGGCACAGAGACCAGUCUGCUGCAGGCAGCCAGCCUGGCCUGGUCAGCCUGUCUCAGGGGUGGAGGGCGGAGGGUGGAGGUGACGCGACCUCUCCCACUGGGCCAGGGAUUGGGCAGAACAAGAAGCAGUCAGGACCCUUGGUGCUCCUCAUCCCAGGCCCUCCCCACCCUGGACACGCUGGCUUCCACUUCUGCUACGGCUCCAUCCACGGUCUUUCUACCAGCACCGUGGGCCUGCACACGGGGAGGUCAGUGUCUGAGAUGCUCUUGCAGCCCAAAGCAGUCCCACAGUCAACACUGGUCACUGCAGAGCGAUGUGGACAGGGACAGGGAGGAGGACGUGGGAAGCGCAUGCUUAGUGAGCGCCAACUGCGUUCCAGGCCUGGUGCCAGAUCCCCGGAAUGUGAGUGGCCCUGAGUCUCGCUGCCAGCUGCCAGCGAUCCCUCUAGCUCAGUCCUCUUCACUGAAGGCCUGGCGUUGGAAGCAGCCUGCACUGCCCCUGAGCGCGAGCACUGCAGCAUAGUAACAGUAGCAACCGGACCACACUGUAGCAACACUCAGGGCCUGGAUGCCUUCACAGACGUCUUCUUCCAACCUGCCAGCUCUUCACACACCUGCCCUGUACAAAGCCAGGAACCCACCUGCCACACAAGAAAGUGCAUCCCGCAGGACUUAGGUCUCCACACAUCCCUUGUCCAGAGGGAGCACACCUGAGAGCUCAGUCUUUGCAAUUGCAGUUUAUCAAUCCACAUUACAGGUUGAGCUCCUACCUGAAUGAAUCGCAAAGUGCCCUGAUGACUUGAAGCAAUUAUGCCUUUGAGUCAAUCUCCUUCAUCAAUUACUGGG
rnacentral:lncRNA from 1 species